CCUGUGUGUGAGUGUUAGUAUGUGUGUGUGUGUGUGUGUGUGUGUGUGUGUGUGUGUGUGUGUGUGUGUGUGUGUGUGUGUGUGUGUGUGUGUGUGUGUGUGUGUGUGUGUGUGUGUGUGUGUGUGUGUGAAGGUGUCUAAAGCUUGAAUCAUCAACAUCAUUUGAUUUGAAACAAUGGCUGUGAACGAUGCCAGUUCAGAUCAUCGUAAGUUCCAUGAUUCACCAGGAGAUGUGGAUGGAAGACAAACUGCAGGCUCACCGACUGUCAGGUGUGAAGAUCUGGAUAAAGGAUGAUUCCUACAAUGCAGAAUCUCCAAGAAAAGCCAGUAUUACCUCUGCCAAGGAGUAUAUGAAUAUAACUAAUCUGGAACGGGCAUGUCAGAGAGCACAAAAAGUACAACUUCCUGUUCGCGCACCGGUUGAAGGCGGGGACCAACAUGGCUACCUCAGCAGUGACCGUUGAUGAGGACAAAGACGUCACCACACCAAUAUUAUCUCCUUAGGUAGAAGGUAACAGACCUCGUGGUCAUACCUGUCAAUAAUGCUGUUGAGCUUGUUUCCCACGAGUGGUCCUCUUUUAGCCUUGUAACACAGGCCGAUGUCUCAUCUAUGGUAACCAAAAUGAAGCCCUCUUUCUGUGUGUCUGAUGUUCUGCCCUGUAGAUUUUUUGUAAAAGUCUUUGAUGCCAUUGGCCCCUGGGUUACCAAUCUGAUCAACCUUUCCCUGUCAACUGGUGUUUUCCCCAGUUCUUUCAAACACGCAACUGUAGAACCACUUCUCAAAAAGCCCAAUCUGGACCCAGCAGAUUUAAAAAACUUCAGGCC
rnacentral:lncRNA from 1 species